rnacentral:rRNA from 1 species
AACGUAGGAGACAAACGUUAUCCGGAGUUACUGGGCGUAAAGGGCGUGCAGGCGGCAGUCUAAGUCUGGCGUGAAAUAUCCCGGCUCAACCGGGGAAGGUCGUCGGAUACUGGGCAGCUAGAGGACGGUAGAGGCGUGUGGAAUUCCGGGUGUAGUGGUGAAAUGCGUAGAGAUCCGGAGGAACACCAGUGGCGAAGGCGACACGCUGGGCCGUACCUGACGCUAAGACGCGACAGCAUGGGGAGCAAACAGG